CAGAGCAGUAAGGCGAAGAAAGAGAAGAGAAGGAGCGUCUGAACGUCAAGAGGAGUUCAGCUGGGGAUGGCCAAACUCCAGGGGAAGAUCAUCUUCUCACUACAUCCCCUUUCCAGCUCCCCAUCCAUCCCACUGAGAGCCACCUCCAUCAGUCAAUAAAAUCCCUGCAUUCACCAUCCUUCAAGUUCACAUGACCCGAUUCUUCCUGGAUGCCAGACAAGGACCCGGGUACUAAGAGGACAGGGUGUAAAAAGCUGUCUGACUCUCCACUAAACUGGUUAACGCUUAGCUGUCUGGGGAUGGCAACUGCUAAAAGGGUAUUCAUUCUAACACUUCCCUAGAGGCUACUGAUACUGAAGUGCUGGGAAGGAAAGAGCAUGGUCCUUUUAAAUGAUAUGGAAGUGGGGAAUGGAAGGGCUGGGUAGAGGAGGGCAUGGUGCCUGGCUAGGACUCUACCCCCACAGACCUAGGUGAGGACAGGCACAUCUGUCUUUGUGCCCAAAUGUUGCAUUUUCCAAGACCACUCUGGCCUGCCACACCCCCAUCCUGUGCCUAUAAAAACCCCUGAAACCCUAGCAGUCAGAUACACAAGUGGCUGGACAUUGUGAGGAACACAUUGGUGGAAAAAGACACAGGUGGCUGGACGUUGAGAGGACAUCGAGGGGAGCACUCUGGCGGAAGAGCACACCAACAGAUGCCAGCAUGCCGCAGGCCAUUGACCAGCAGAAUGACACAGAGUUUGGCUGGGGCAGUCAGAGGAGAGCCCAGGUCCCUGAGCUGCCUGACUCCAGGAAAAAGCCAUCUCCCUUCUGGCUCCCCCAUCUGCUGAGAGCUACUUGUACUCAAUAAAACCUUGAACUCAUUCUCCAAGCCCACAUGCGAUCCAGUUCUUCCAGUACACCAAGGUAAGAAACUCCGGGAUACAGAAAUCCCUCUGUCCUUGUGAUAAGGAAGAGAGUCUAAUUGAGCUAACACAAGCCACCUGCAGAUGGCUAAAUUAAAAAAGCGCCCUGUAACACAUGCCCACUGGGGCUUUAGGAGCUAUAAACACUCACCCCUACACACUGCCAUGAGGUUGCAGCCCCACAACCUGCCCGUCUGUAUGCUCCCCUAGAGGUUUGAGCAGUGGGGCACUGAAGAAGCAAGCCACUCCCCUGUCACACGCCCUGUGAGGGGGACAAGGGAACUUUUCCUGUUUCACUACUAUGCGGCUGGAGCCCAAAAGCACUCAUCCCAGCUCCUGCACCUGUCUGUCUGCAUGUUUCCCCCUCUUGUAAGGGGUUUGAGUACAUGGUGGCCAAGCAAACAGGCCACACCCUUGUUGCAAGUCCCGCGAGAGGUUCAGAGAACUCUCCCGUUUCACUCCUGCCUCAGGCCUCAGCCACCACAGUAAGUGGAACUCUAUACCUCCACCUCGCCUGGCUGGGUGGAGCCUCUAAACUCAGGAUUCUGCCUUGAGCUGUGGCUCUCCCCUCAGGUUGACAGGGUCCAGAGCAAAACCUACGGAAGAAGCUGCAGAGGCCAGGUGGAGGGAAGGAUGCUGAACUGGAGGAGGCCAGGAAAUUAUGAGGUGAUUCUAAGCACAUUAAAAUCUGGAUGACACUUAUCUGAAUCAUUUCGCAACUUGGAGAGAGAUGGAGAAGACACGCAUGGUGUAACUGGGCAUCACCAGAAUGUGCACUGCCAUCUGUGGCUGUCUUCCUGCUGGCAAAUCCUUUUCAUUCCAAGCAAAUAAGAUUCCCUAAAUUAGACAAAAAGGAAGAAACACAACAGAGUCCAUAAUUCUGAGAGGAAGAGAAGAGUGAUCAUCAGCAGCAAAAGGCAAUUGCAGAGAAGCACCACCAAGAGCCAGCUUCAUGCUCAGGAGUGAAUGCUGAGCCGCCUCCUCGUGGUUUCCGGUGCUCCACAUGUUCAGAGAAACUUCUCUGGUGCAGAAAGAAGCCUUCUUGGUGCUUCCUUUAUCUGACAAAAAGCAGAGACUUCUGGAAAAAUGAGGCUGCCAUACCUCCCUCUUACGGGUGGCUUUUACUCCCAGGAAGAUGAUCAAGAAACCUACCGUAAGUCCUCUCUCCAGGGAAGUUUUAUGGCCAUGAAUGAGAUACAGAGAUCACUCAGGCCUGCAUGAACAAGCACUAUCACAAACUCUUUAUCUCUCAUUUGUUCUUCUAGAAAUCCAUCUGUUCCUCCUAUAGAGGCCUUUUCCCCCACUGCCUCUUUUCCCUACUAAGCUGGGCAUAUAAGUUUCUAGCUUUAACUACUUACUGAGUUUCUUCUUUUUCAAGCUCCUAUAUGCAUAUAAAUAAGGUCCCCCUGCCCACCUGUUAAUCUGUCUUUUAUCAGCUUAAUUUGCAGGCCCCCAGGUACUGAACUUAAGAGGACAGAGGAAAAGUUUUUCCUCCCUGACACUGAGCAACCAGAGGCUGCUGUUAAGUAACCUUCCCUCAUUUCUACGUCUGUCCUCUGCCCCUUCCAGCCCCUCAACCCACAUUGUCUCUCAUGUUCCUAUUCACCUAAAAGAGGAAAAUCAUAUUAUUUCAAUAAACCUCUGCCUUAUAGUUUGUAAACUGUUUUCUGUUGUUUUUUUGUUUUGUUUUGAGACAGAGUCUUGCAGUGGCACCAUCUCAGCUCAGUGCAACCUCUGCCUCCCAAGUUCAAGCGAUUCUCCUGCCUCAGCCUCCUGAGGAGCUGGGAUUACAGGCGUGCGCCACCACGCCCAGCUAAUUUUUGUAUUUUUAGUAGAGACGGGCUUUCACCGUGUUGGUCAGGCUGGUCUCGAACUCCUGACCUCAUGAUCCACCCACCUCAGCCUCCCAAAAUGCUGGGAUUACAGAUGUGAGCCACCGAGCCCGGUCAACUGUUUUCUGUCCUUGUAAUUGGUAUAAUGACAAUUGCAUUAAUACUUCAUCUGCUGGACACUGGGUAAGAACUCUCCAAGUGUAAGUGGAAAUUUUUCUGCAAAUGGAUCUCAUGUUACAUAGCACAGGCCUACCAUAAUAUCAGAAUUACAGAAUUUGGAUUUGAACAUCAAAUACAGAUAUGUUCCCUAUAUACAUUUUCAUAAAUCAAUCAAAAGAAUCCUGUAAUCCUAGCACUCUGUAAUCCUAGCACUUUGGGAGGCCUAGGCGGGUGGAUCACCUGAGGUUAGGAGUCCAAGACCAGUUUGGCCAACAUGGUGAAAUCCUGUCUCUACAAAAAUUAAGUGGGCAUGAUGGCGGGUGCCUGUAAUCCCAGCUACUCAGGAGGCUGAGGCAGGAGAAUCGCUUAAACCCAGGAGGCAGAGGUUGCAAUGGUGCCAUUGUACUCCAGCAUGGGCAACUGAGUGAGACUCUGUCUGUCUCCAAAAAAAAAAAAAAAAAAAAAAAACCUGUCACACUCAAAGCAUGAUUUUUUUAAAGUAAAGGAACAAAAACUCUUUGGUCCCUACAGUCAUAUCUCACAGAUCUUAACAAACAAGUUCCUAAUUAAGUAAUAAUACAUAAAACUCAUAUUGGCCCAAGGUAGGAUCUAGAUGUUUUAGAAACUAGUCUAUUGGCCCUGACUCAGACCACAGGUGCUCACAGCCUCAGGCAGUGGGUCCCUUUGACAGCGGAAGGACUCCUGCCUUGCAAAGAUCAUUCACGGUAUUUGUCUACUCGGGCAUUUGGAGGAAUUUAUCUGAGAGAUCUCUGUUCCUCUGUGGCCCUGACAUGUCUUUUCUCCUCUUGUAUUUUCACUCUUACUUUUCUUCUUUCAGCAUUAGGAAUGCUUUCCUUUGUUCAAGCCAGCCCACUGUGUAAUCUUAACAACAUUCAUAAAAGGGAAUUCUUCAUACGUGCCCUUAGCUCACAGCGCCCCGCGUCAAGUUCUAGGAAUCCAUGUGUGAGGAACAAAGAGGAUUGUUUCGUCUGUAAAUGGGUUAUUCUGACAACAGGGCAAUUUUGGCUUCUCUCUAAGCUUCACAAAGCUUUGCAGCACAGCCCUGGCAAGGAAUCACAAUGACAAUGGCUGCACUGAAGCCACACACUCCAUGUGCAGGGCCGGAACAUGAUUAAAGCAAUCAAAUGCACGAGGUUUAGAGAAUGAACUGUUACAAAUUACAAGUUUGCAGGGGGAGAGGAUUUGGAAGUCUUUACUCAAGGUUCAAGCAUUAUAGCAAAUUGUGUCUAAUAUAAUAAUAUUAGAUUAUUAAUAUUAUUGUAGCUAAACUUUAACGCUUGUGAUAAAACACGUCAGAUUUAAACACAUCACUUUAAAUAGAAUUCCAAGGGUUAGGUCUUAUCUCCAUUUAGGAAGUGGGGAAACUGAGGAAUGAGGUUAUGAAAACUGCCUAAGGUUAAUCUGCUGGUGAGAGGCAGUGAUGGUGCUGGAAUCCAGGCCUCCUAGCUGUUGCUUCCUGCCUCAUCUUCUUCCUCUUUUUAGCUUCAGCAACAUCACAUGUUGCCUGGAGACCCACUGAAUGUUGGAUUCGGAGGUCACUUAGAGGUUACACUCCCCUCCCCUUCUUCACCUUAUGGGUGAAAAAGCAGAGGCUUGGGCAGGUCACUUGAGUUGCCCAAGGCCAAUUUAGGUGGAGCUAGGAGUACGACCUAAGUCUCCUGAGAUACAGCUUAAUAGGCUGUCUCCCACCCAGGGUUAUGUGUAUACUCUUUUCAUCCAAUUAAUUUUUCAGCCAACAGCUACAUCCUUUCAUUUGAGCCCUGUGCUUUCAAAUUACAUGUCUUCCCACUCAAAGAAGUGGGACUAAAUCCACAGAGUUUUGCAAGCUUAAAGGCACCUCUUAAAGAUCUGGAAGCCACCAGUAUUAUUCAUAUAAAUACAGAGCCAGGAGACGGAUCUCUAUAUUGCUUUAGGUAAAUCUCUUCUUAAAUUAAAACACAGAUUAUGUUACAGCAAGUCAUUAAGAGUCAUAAGAGGCAAAAGUGAGACAGUGAAUUGAUCAAAUCACCCACAGUCAUGGCGCAGACAUCAGUUUAGGCAAGUCAUCAUUUAACCUAAUUGAAGAGUUAAUACUUCCUACAUUCUUUACCUUCAACUUAUUUAUUUCUGGCCCUGAGUAUUUCAGAUGUGCUAAGUGCUGCCCUGAGAACUCCGUACUCACAACGUUCCUUUGCCCUUUCUUAAUCCUCCAAUGACAUUACCAGUGAGGUUCUGUUAUUAAAUCCAUUCCAUAGUCCCAAGAGACUGAGGUUUAAAGAAAUGAAGCAACCUGCCUGAGGUUGCUGAAGACUUUACCUGAAUCCAGGUGAUCCAGGUGCCAGGGGUCGGUGGCGGACGACAUGGGGGAGAGGGUCAGCGGCGAGGCC
rnacentral:lncRNA from 10 species